rnacentral:lncRNA from 1 species
GCAGGAUAUUGACCUUUUUAUUUUUAACUGCAUUUUCAGUUUGGAGGUUGUAAAAUAGGUAUAACAUUUAAGAAAAAAAAUUGAAAGAUAUCUAUUGGAUGCUGAUGAUUAUGAAACAAAGUAGCAAAGAUAAGAAGCCAUUUGCUCAUUCUGCUCCUUUGCCAGCAAUAUUUCACAAAGCCCCUGACUCAUUGACUGUGAGCAGCCUUGUGGAAGAAUGCCUUGAAGACCAUAAGCAGGAUAGGGAAUAGGUUUGCACAUCUCUUGCCUGAAUCACUGAAUUUUUACAAAAGAGUCUACAGAAGGAACACAGCUCUACCAAUCCAAUUUGGACUUCAGACCUUCAGAGGUGCCAGGUAAUACAUUUGCUUUAUUUUAAGCCACUAAAUUUGUGGUUACUUAUUAUGGUAGCAAUAGGAAACUAAUACAGGUACCUCAACUGUUAGCCGUGGUUACUCCCUAGAGGUUUGGAAAUGAAGAUCAGAGUUGAAGAGGACUUUUAUUCUCCAUUGUUCAUGUUAUUUGAACUGUUAUCAUGGAUUUAUGUUGGUUUUAUUAUGGAUCUAUAUUGCUUCUUAAAUAAAAAUAAUUAAGAGCAGAAGUAGCUAAUAUUAAGUGAAAAGAUAGUGUAGAAAAUUGUAUAAAGGGUAAUUGUUCAACCAUGAAAAAAUAGAAAAAAAAUAAGAAGGAAACUUACUAAAAUGUUAUCCAGUUGUUUUUCCUGAGUAUUAAGAGUGUGCAUGUUCUAUUUUCAUUUAUCCUCUGAGUCACUCAAGUUAUUCAUUAAGCAUCUACUCUGUGUUAAAGAAUGUGCUAGGAACUGAGAAUGCAGUGGGGAAUAAGAGAGACACAAUUUCUGCCCUCAUGGAACAAGGCAGAUUAAACAGAUGAUCAGACAAAUUAUUAAUUAAUUAUAUUGUAAUAAGUUCAAUAUAGGCAAGAUACAGACUGAAAUCACCAUGCACUAGGGCAACAUAACGUAGUCAGGGAAUGCUUUCCUAAGGAAUUUCAGCUUGGAAUUAAAUGAGAAUUUUCCAGUCAGAGACAGGAAAUAAAAUUUUUUACAAAGAGGACAUACCCCCUUUUUAUCAGGAGAAAAAUGAACAUUUUAAAUUUUUUUUAAAAAGAAAUAGUUAACAUUUCUCUAUCCUUUUAUAUCUGGUAACAGCAGCUGCUCAGUGCUGGAAAUGGUCUGCUUUUUCUGCUUGAUUUAGCCAAAUUCAGUUUAAUGAUCAGACUUUUUUUUCUCUUGUUCAAGCACUUCAGGCAAAUGAAAUAUUUAAGUGAAUAAAUUGAGGCCACUAGACAAAAAAGUAAAAUAAUAAUGGUUAAAUAUCUUCCGUAUCCAGAGCUCACAUUAUUAAACUAUUAGAUCUAAUACUUUUUGGUUGUCAAUCUAUCAAAAAAAGCUUGUGAUAGGCCCUUAAUAUUGAUUGACCUUGACAGAAAUAAGACCCGGUGUCUUUGCCAGUUGAAGUUCUGUUUUUAUCCAACCAAAACUAAGAAACACAAAUGAAGAAGCAAAGAACAAGAAUUAUUUUGAAAUCGACAUAAAAUGUAUCACUAAUCGAAUUUUUCUCAAAAGAAUUUCAUAGAUGAAAUCUGUAUCACUGGGUACUAAAAAUUAAGAAUUUCAAAUUUCUCAACUUUAGAAUCUUCUCUUAUAAUUUCCAGAUGAGUAGUAAUUUUCCAGAUGAUGGUUUGGGAUUACUUUCAGCACAAGAGCAGGGAGAAUAACAUCUCUGUAAUGAAUAGGCACUAAUGAUUUCAUAGUUAAUGAUUAACAUCUCUGGAAAAAAAAACAAAAUAAAAAUAGAGAGCCUAUUAAUAAAUGUCAUGCCACCAAAAAUCACUACGUGAAAUUACGUUAAAUUUUUUUUGUUAAAAAUUUUAUUUACUUGAUCCUUUUUGUUUGUUGUUUGCUUGCUUUCCAGUAUACUUAUGUGUCUGUAACACUUAGAGCAGUAAUGUCCUUUAAUGAAAAUCAGAAUAAAUAUGACUAUGUUUAACAAAAAAUGUAUCAUAAUGUAGAAUUGACUUACAAUGACAAUGAUGUAAUGAGAAGUUAUGUACUGUAUAUGACAGAGAUUACUAGGUAAAUUGCAAAUAGAAGAUACUAUAAACAUAUCAUUGAGAAUGUCAUGAAAAUGGAAUGUUUGAAGUUCAGAUAUUCUUUCUACAAAUGCAAUAAAAUAUUUAGAAUUUUUA